CGCGUGAGGAACCUGGCUCAAAGAGGGGGACAACAGUUGGAAACGACUGCUAAUACCGCAUAAGCCCACGGGUCGGCAUCGACCUGAGGGAAAAGGAGCAAUCCGCUUUGAGAUGGCCUCGCGUCCGAUUAGCUAGUUGGUGAGGUAACGGCCCACCAAGGCGACGAUCGGUAGCCGGACUGAGAGGUUGAACGGCCACAUUGGGACUGAGACACGGCCCAGACUCCUACGGGAGGCAGCAGUGGGGAAUAUUGCACAAUGGGGGAAACCCUGAUGCAGCGACGCCGCGUGGAGGAAGAAGGUCUUCGGAUUGUAAACUCCUGUUGUUGAGGAAGAUAAUGACGGUACUCAACAAGGAAGUGACGGCUAACUACGUGCCAGCAGCCGCGGUAAAACGUAGGUCACAAGCGUUGUCCGGAAUUACUGGGUGUAAAGGGAGCGCAGGCGGGAAGACAAGUUGGAAGUGAAAUCUAUGGGCUUAACCCAUAAACUGCUUUCAAAACUGUUUUUCUUGAGUAGUG
rnacentral:rRNA from 1 species